CCAACGGCCCUCUUUAGGGCCACAGCUGUUUACGAAUACUCAUACA
rfam:Ancylostoma ceylanicum strain HY135 Acey_s0143_scaf, whole genome shotgun sequence.